GUUGGCCUCGGAUCAGGUGGGGAUACCCGCUGAACUUAAGCAUAUCAAUAAGCGGAGGAAAAGAAACCAACAGGGAUUGCCUCAGUAACGGCGAGUGAAGCGGCAACAGCUCAAAUUUGAAAUCUGGCGCAAGCCCGAGUUGUAAUUUGUAGAGGAUGUUUCGGGUGAAGCCACGGUCCAAGUCCCUUGGAACAGGACGUCAUAGAGGGUGAGAACCCCGUACCUGGCCGUCGGUGCCCCCCGCUGUGAAACUCCUUCGACGAGUCGAGUUGUUUGGGAAUGCAGCUCUAAAUUGGUGGUAAAUUCCAUCUAAAGCUAAAUACCGGCCAGAGACCGAUAGCGCACAAGUAGAGUGAUCGAAAGAUGAAAAGCACUUUGAAAAGAGAGUUAAAAAGUACGUGAAAUUGUUGAAAGGGAAGCGCUUGCGGCCAGACUUGCCCGCGGUUGCUCAGCCCGCCUUUUGGCGGGUGCACUCUUCCGCGGUCAGGCCAGCAUCGGUUUGGGCGGUCGGAUAAAGGCGUUGGGAACGUGGCCUCCCCUCGGGGAGGUGUUAUAGCCCGGCGCGCAAUGCGACCAGCCCGGACCGAGGUUCGCGCUUUGCUAGGAUGCUGGCGUAAUGGCCGUAAGCGGCCCGUCUUGAAACACGGACCAAGGAGUCUAACAUCUAUGCGAGUGUUUGGGUGUCAAACCCGUGCGCGUAAUGAAAGUGAACGGAGGUGGGAACCGCAAGGUGCACCAUCGACCGAUCCUGAUGUCUUCGGAAGGAUUUGAGUAAGAGCAUAGCUGUUGGGACCCGAAAGAUGGUGAACUAUGCGUGAAUAGGGUGAAGCCAGAGGAAACUCUGGUGGAGGCUCGCAGCGGUUCUGACGUGCAAAUCGAUCGUCAAAUUUGCGUAUAGGGGCGAAAGACUAAUCGAACCAUUU
rnacentral:rRNA from 1 species